rnacentral:tRNA from 2 species
CACUCUAUGGCUGAAUGGUUUAAGCGCUCAACUCAUAAUUGGCAAAUUUGUAGGCUCAAUUCCUACUGGUUUAA